rnacentral:rRNA from 1 species
AUUGAACGCUGGCGGAAUGCUUUACACAUGCAAGUCGAACGGCAGCACGGACUUCGGUCUGGUGGCGAGUGGCGAACGGGUGAGUAAUGUAUCGGAACGUGCCCAGUCGUGGGGGAUAACGUAGUGAAAAUUACGCUAAUACCGCAUACGAUCUAUGGAUGAAAGCGGGGGAUCGCAAGACCUCGCGCGCUUGGAGCGGCCGAUAUCAGAUUAGGUAGUUGGUGGGGUAAAGGCCCACCAGGCCAACGACCUGCAGCCGGUCUGAGAGGACUACCAGCCACACUGGAACUGAGACACGGUCCAGACUACUACGGGAGGCAGCAGUGGGGAAUAGUGGACAAUGGGCGAAAGCCUGAUCCAGCCAUUCCGCGUGCAGGAUGAAGGCCCUCGGGUUGUAAACUGCUUUUGUACAUAGCGAAAAGGUUUCUACUAAUACUAGGAGCUCAUGACGGUACUGUAAGAAUAAGCACCGGCUAACUACGUGCCAGCCGCCGCAGUAA